rnacentral:lncRNA from 1 species
GCAUCAUUGGAUUCCAAAAGUGCAGCAUUUAUUGAUAUAAGUAGGAAUAACUUAAGCUAUCUGAAACAUAAAGUGCAUAAAAUUUUCAGAAUAUCUCAUGUUAAAUACAUUCAAGGUUUUGAAAAGCAAUUUUUAAAUCUGCUGAAAUAACAUAAAUAUUCCAACAGUUCCUCGAACAGGAAAGAUUAUGUAAUUUAGAUCUUAUUCAAACUUCACACUAAACAUAGCUAAACAUGCUUGAUUUUACUACACACUUAGUCAUAUAACAACCAUCCAAAUCAACCUCAAAUCACAUUUGCAAAUCAAAGCACCUCUUUUAGCGAUUCUCAUUAGGACUAAACCCACAAUAGAAACAAAACUAAAUGACUUCAACCUUUAAACACAUGCCCAAUCAUAACUAUAAUAACCUUGUGAUUAACAAAAUAUUCAACAAUCUGAAUAAAAAUAUGCAUGGAUCUCAGGAUUGAUGGUUACUUCUACCAACAACAGAACUUAGUAAUUAAACAGACAAAAAUCAACAUGUACUACAUAAUAUACCUACUAAAGUUUUGAUAUAGAACUUCAAGAUAAACUUAGAAGAAAACAUGUUGAGAUAAAAAUCGACACAAACAAACUAAAACUAAAAAACAAGAAGAGAUAACACCUGAUAAAGAAAACACAAUCUUCAUUUCUCUUCAAUAAAGACACUUCAUGAACAAUUCUUUACAUACAUAAGUUUCAGAGAUAUGCACCUGAGAAAAAAGAGGAAACAAGAAGUGGGUGAGGUUUAAUUGAUGAAGAAGGCGGCAACAGCACAACAGGACUCAACAAAAACAAUCCAUUUCAGCCAUAAAAAUAAUGUGAAAAUUGUCCAGAUUCACUCUCAAUCAGACUGUAGUCAAAGAAGACCUCAACCAUGCUUUUAACAAACCAAAUUCAAAGCAUUCUACCCCAGAUGAACCAGAAAUUUUCAGCACUUGAAUAACUCCAGAAAUCAAAGAAAUAGGAGCAAAUUUCAAUGGAAUAAUGAAAGAAUAUUUUUCCGUCCGCUCUUUCUGGAUUUUUUUAUAAAAAACUCUGCCUUAAUAUGCAAGAAAGCAUUCCUUUAUAGACAAGGAAGUAGGGUUGCUUUCAGAUUUUAGUUUUUUGUACUUUUCCCCUUUCUGAAUUUUCUUUUUUUCUUAGCUAGCCUUAAUUAAAAAUCUGAAGUUCAAUUUAAACUCCCUACCCAGCUUCCUAGAGCUUCCCAAUUUUGUUACUCAAAGAUUCUCUUUUCCAAUUUCCUUAACUACCUCCAUACCCCUGUUAUUUACCUUGCCAAUCAAACAGACCUGGGUCCAAUUGACCCAAGCGAAUGGGUUCAAAUAAACCCAACUUAAUUCUUUCUUGGCUUAAUUCUUAGAUCUCAACUGAAAUCAAUCAGAUACUCAAUAUCGAAUCUGACUUAACAUUGACCAAGAGAAAGAAAUACGGGAGCUUUUAAAUCAGGGCCCAAAACUCAAAAGCGAAAGGAGACUAAUUCAACUUAUUUUAAAAAAACAAAUCGAUACUUAUGUUGAACGCCAAACAGGUCAUGCAUAAAUCACGAAAAACAUGCUAUGAAGAAGCAGAAACACAAACUAGAAGCGAGAGGAAGGGGAAUGACUAUAAACAACAGAAAAGUACAAGAGAAGAACUGGCAAUAUAAAAAUACCUAAUGGACUGUCCAAACAUCGCAAUUCUUCUUCACGAACUCAAUUUUAGCCGAAAGGGGCCUCAAUCAUGUGUUCUCAUAUGAAACACAUGACUAAGGUUCGUUCUAGUCUUAAUCACCGUCAAAUCUACCGACUCUGGAGUUUUUGACAUUUUUAGGUCUUACUUUCAACAUCAGAUUCGACAAGUUUAGGGAAUGUUUAAAAGAAACAGAGUGAGGAUUUAGGAAUAGGGGAGUGAACGGAUCUCAGGAUGUUAAUUUGGUUAGAAUUGGUGGUGGAGUCACCACCCCAUAUGGGUGGGAAAAGGUGGUGGCGGGCUAGGGUUCAGGGGUAUCUCUAAGAUAAUGAGUAAGUGAGGGAGAUUGGAACUGGGGGAGGGUAACAAG